rnacentral:rRNA from 1 species
AUGAACGCUGGCGGCAGGCUUAAUACAUGCAAGUUGAACGGUAACAUUUUGUAGCAAUACAGAGAUGACGAGUAGCGUACGGGUGCGUAACACGUGUGCAACCUACCUUAUACAGGAACAAAACGUUGAGAAAUUAGCGCUAAUAUUCCAUAAUAUUAUUGAUAGGCAUCUAUUUAUAAUUAAAGCUCAGGUGGUAUAAGAUGGGCACGCGUUCCAUUAGCUAGUUGGUAAGGUAACGGCUUACCAAGGCAACGAUAGAUAGGGGUUCUGAGAGGAUACACCCCCACACUGGAACUGAGACACGGUCCAGACUCCUACGGGAGGCAGCAGUAAGGAAUAUUGGGCAAUGGAGGCAACUCUGACCCAGCCAUGCCGCGUGCAGGAAGACAGUCUUAUGGAUUGUAAACUGCUUUUAAUAGGGAAUAAUUUCGAUUAUGUAUAGUUGAUUGCAGGUACCUAUAGAAUCAGCAUCGGCUAACUCCGUG